CCUACGGGAGGCAGCAGUGAGGAAUAUUGGUCAAUGGGCGCGAGCCUGAACCAGCCAAGUCGCGUGAGGGAAGACGGUCCUAUGGAUUGUAAACCUCUUUUGUCGGGGAGCAAAAGACGCCACGCGAGGCGUUCCGAGAGUACCCGAAGAAAAAGCAUCGGCUAACUCCGUGCCAGCAGCCGCGGUAAUACGGAGGAUGCGAGCGUUAUCCGGAUUUAUUGGGUUUAAAGGGUGCGCAGGCGGAAGAUCAAGUCAGCGGUAAAAUUGAGAGGCUCAACCUCUUCGAGCCGGUGAAACUGGUGUUCUUGAGUGAGCGAGAGGUAUGCGGAAUGCGUGGUGUAGCGGUGAAAUGCAUAGAUAUCACGCAGAACUCCGAUUGCGAAGGCAGCAUACCGGCGCUCAACUGACGCUCAUGCACGAAAGUGUGGGUAUCGAACAGGAUUAGAUACCCCUGUAGUC
rnacentral:rRNA from 1 species